GAGACACAGGCAGAGGGAGAAGCAGGCUCCACGCAGGGAGCCCGACCUGAGGUGGAACUCGAACCCAGGACUCCAGGGUCACGCCCUGGGUGGAAGGCAGAUGCUCAACUGCUGAGCCCCCCAGGGCAUCCCCGAUCUUCUGUUUCUAUACAUACGAGCAAAUGAUGAGGCUUAGGGAGAGAAACUUUCCCGAAUGUAUGUACUUUCAAUGGCAAGCUUCGCUGGAAUCGGAUUUAAUACAGGGACCCUCCCCCCCCUCCGCCACACAUACACACACACACGUACACACCACGCUUUCUCUUCCAGAGGGUCAUUUCACGCCAGCUGUACUUAAAGGCUUUGUUGAAAGAAGACCAUGAAAUGACAAAAUCCGAAGUCUUCACAGGGCGAGGUUGGGACGUCAAGGGUGUGCAAGUGUCUUAAAAUUGUGGAUUCGUCAACGGGAAUCAGGAUGGAAUUUAGCGCUUUUGGCUGCAUGAUAACGAAGCUAAGUUUAAGAGAACCGGACUCCCUGUAUAGAGAGGGGAGACAGAACUCUGGGGAAAACAGGAUGAUUGCGAGACCAGGACGAUGAUCUACAAAACCAAAACCAUGGUUUGCUGAGUUUUGGAAGAGAGUCUCUGUUGGUUCCCUGGGACUAUCCUGGGUCUGAGUUACUACUGCUUGGGAUGCUCCCGGGAACGUGCAUUGACAGAGCUAAAAGCAGAUUGAUAGAUGAAGCAUAAAACAAGACCAGAUGCUGUGGUUUCCAGGAUGCACUUGGCUUCCCAUCCUUUAUAACCUGGAGCAUUUAUUGCUGGCAUCCUUAGUCCACAUCAACCAAGGUGGUAUAAAAACAGCACUGCACUUGGUUUGCAUUCUGUGCCCUGAAGCAGAAAUGCCUUUAAUUGUUCAUUGUGAAAUAAACAGAUGUCUACUGGAGAAGAUUAUUAAAAACAUUUUGUGCACUUUGGGAGAACUAGAGGUCAGGACUGCUUGACCUAGCAUCUCAAAGGAAACCCAAGCCAACCCAGCUACCAAG
rnacentral:lncRNA from 1 species